rnacentral:tRNA from 1 species
GGGGGUAUAGCUCAGUUGGUAGAGCGUUGCACUGGCAGUGCAAAGGUCAGGAGUUCGACUCUCCUUACCUCCACCA